rnacentral:lncRNA from 1 species
GAGCGAAAAAAUGUCAAAUGAAAUUUAUACAAACUGGGUGUCAGACAAUCUACAAUAAAGCAUUACAUCGACCAUGACACAGCAGAUGAACCAGCAUGAAUUUAUCCAAACGACAAACAAGUCUUGAGAUUCGUCACACACGCUAGGUAAUAACAACAUAACAAUUCACCAAGGUUCCGAUUGACUGACUAUAACGAUAGUACGAGCAAAGCUACUGCAGAAACGAGUACGACAACGGCCUAAAGAGCGAACAAGGCUUCUGCUAAAACCAUACGAAUACCAUGCCUCCCGAAAGGGCAGAUUCAGAGGGCGCCACCAAGACGAACCAAUCACCUGAACUUCGGCUUCUUCGAGGGCGGCCCUCCCUUGGAGCUACUGGGAGGCGGGCGAGACUUGUUGCCGCUGCUGCUGCCACCACGCUGUGGCAGCGGAGCAUGCUUGCUGCUGCUAGGACCACGCUGCGGUGGUGCACCGGACUUGCUGAAGGUCUUGACCUUGCGGCGCCUCCUUUCUUCCUCGCUGUCUGACUCUGCGCCAUGAUCCCGGUCCGCGUUGGUCGCCUCCCGCUCCAGCUCGUCCCAGGUCUUGCCCUUCUCUUCCUCAGAGUCUUCAUCAGAAUCCUCUUCCUCAUCCUCAUCUGAUUCCACCAACGACGCGCUGUCAGAGUCUUCCUCUUCUGAUU